UAGUCCACGCCGUAAACGAUGGAUACUAGCUGUCCGGAAUCUUGAAUUCUGGGCGGCCAAGCGAAAGUGAUAAGCAUCCCACCUGGGGAGUACGUUCGCAAGAAUGAAACUCAAAGGAAUUGACGGGGGCCCGCACAAGCGGUGGAGCAUGUGGUUUAAUUCGAUGAUACGCGAGGAACCUUACCAGGGCUUAAAUGUAAGUUGCAUUAGCUAGAGAUAGCUAUUUCUUCGGACCACUUACAAGGUGCUGCAUGGUUGUCGUCAGCUCGUGCCGUGAGGUGUCAGGUUAAGUCCUAUAACGAGCGCAACCCCUGUUGUUAGUUGCCGGCGAGUCAUGUCGGGAACUCUAACAAGACUGCCAGUGCAAACUGUGAGGAAGGUGGGGAUGACGUCAAAUCAUCACGGCCCUUACGUCCUGGGCUACACACGUGCUACAAUGGUAGGGACAGAGAGCAGCCACUUCGCGAGAAGGAGCGAAUCUAUAAACCCUAUCACAGUUCGG
rnacentral:rRNA from 1 species